GCACAGAUUUUGUCGGAGCACAGAAGUAUUGUGAACUAUCUUCAGAAAUUUCAUCCUGAUGAAGAUGGGCCUUUUGGUAUAACUGCUACAUGUCUUGAAACAUUCAUCAAGAGUUGCGCUGGUUACUCUGUUAUAACAUACAUAUUGGGCAUAGGAGACAGGCAUCUGGAUAAUCUUUUUCUUAGGGAUGAUGGCCGCCUCUUCCAUGUUGAUUUUGGAUUUAUUUUAGGGCGUGAUCCCAAACCAUUUCCUCCGCCUAUGAAACUUUGCAAAGAAAUGGU
rnacentral:misc_RNA from 1 species